UAAACGACUCUCGGCAACGGAUAUCUUAGCUCUCGCAUCGAUGAAGAACAUAGCAAAAUGCGAUACUUGGUGUGAAUUGCAGAAUCCCGUGAACCAUCGAGUCUUCGAACGCAAGUUGCGCCCGAAGGCAUUAGGUCAAGGGCACGUCUGCCUGGGCGUCUCAC
rnacentral:rRNA from 1 species